rnacentral:lncRNA from 12 species
UGUGGCUGAUUUGCCAUGAUCUUGUUCCUUGACAAAAGCUGAGCUCAGUUCGUCCAUAAUUUGGAUCAGGAUUCACCUGGUUUCACAAAAGUUCCAAUAAUUGUAUCCAAAGCAGGGGAAAUAAGCCAGGGUUUUAUCGGAACAACAAAUAAAUUAGAUCAGUCAAAUGAAGAUAAUUCUUUAACAGGAAGUCACCUCUAAUCCUAAAAUGUUCCAGCUGGAGCUAAAAGAAUAAACAGAUGACUCCAGUAAUUUAGUGAUAAAAUAAUGGUUGGCUUAAUUUGAUUCAGAAACUAUUGCCCUUUAUCUGCUUUGGAACAGAUGCACUAGGGGCUUCCAAUUAUGUAACCAGGAUCAGAACUUAUUCCUCCCUCCAGUAAGAAAAUUUAAAAGUAAAAUCAAGGUCUCUCUUCAAGGUACAACUUUCAACCACUUCUGGAAAUAACGCAUUGGUGAAAAAUGCUAACUAUGCUUCAGUUGAAGUUCUAUAGCUAAAAGUACCACCACAGGAUCCAUUAUUCAAUAGCUUAACACCAGGAUCACAUGGGAACACUCUCUGCUCACAGGCCAAAUGCUGAAAUGUCAGGACAUCUACAAUGACUCAGGAAAACAGCCCCAUUUUUUCCCUCUAUGCGCAUACAGCAGUUGAUAAGUAAAUUCUGUGUCAUCUGGAGAAUUCUGAAAGGGAGCUAUGGACCUUGGCUAGCUGCAUCAAUCAGAAGUCAAAAAUCUUGAUUCGAAUGUCUGAUUUUAAAAUCAAGUCACCAGGACGUUCUUGAAGUGGACCAGAUGUCUAGAAUCGACCACCGCCACAGGGCUUGCCAGUCUUUCCUUUCUCAUCCGGAUGUCCUGGCAUUGGGCGGACCAACAUGGGUCUUAAAUUGCACUUGCUUUGAGAAUGCAUCUUAUCCCACUGUUGAAUCUGCCUGAAUUUUCAUCUUUUGAAGCAGGAAGUUGAUGAGGCCUAUGCUUCUCAAAAUUUAAUGUACAGAUGUAAAAAACUGGAGGAUGUUGGUAAAAAAUUAGAUUCUGACUCAGUAGUUCUGGUGCGGGCCUUUGAGUGUCUGCAUGUCUGACAUGCCAAUGCUGGUGGUCAGAGGACUGCACUCUGCAUCACAGGCAGAGCGAAGUAACCAUGGCUUGACCCAUCAAGUAUAACAAUUGUGUAUAUUCUGAAGAUAUUCUGAGAGUGUCAUUGAAAUUCUACACUCUUAUGUUCUGAAAGUUGCCAUAUUUCUACUCAGGAACUGCUUGUGGGUGAGUCGGCCUGGAUCAUUCAGCAUGUAGUCCUUAUCUCGAAUUCACAAAAUCAGACCACACCUUUGAAGGGCCACAUCCAAACCAAGUAAGAUCGCCCGAAUGUAGAGAAAUGCCUUGGAGUCAACAAAAUUCACUUCUGGCUUCAAUAAACUUUUCCUAUAGAGAACA